rnacentral:lncRNA from 10 species
GAUGUCUCAGCAUGCAUGAGUUUAAAAAGCAAUUAAAAUAAAACUGUAUGUGUGCAUGUAUAAUAAUCACCCAUCAGCAACUCUAAGAAGAAUAAGGGUGGCUUUCCCUUAGGUUAGGUAAAAUUGAAAAAGUGGCUAAGGAAACCCUCAAAAAGCCUGCUGUUAAUCCAAGCUCUUGUACUCCCACAACGUGCUCCAGUGUCAGAGCUCAUUUAUCAUCCUUUUAAGCAAAGAUCUAACGAGUGCUGCACUCCCUUUGCAAGAAAAACAGGGCAUCAUCAGAGAGACUGAUGGAAACUAUAACCUGAUUUGAAAAGCAGCCUCAUUGGCCUUUAUGAUUUCAAGACUGUCCUAGGGAAGGAGGGGAAGAAGUGAAAAAUCAUACAUCCCCCUAACCUUACUCCAAGUUGCAUCCUGAUUCACAGGCACCUUGUCUGCAGGGUAGACCAGCCAGGCCGAAUGGGAAAAUGGCAGUGAUACUGUUAAAAAAAACUCUGCACUUCGGCUUGGCGCGGUGGCUCAUGCCUGUAAUCCCAGCACUUUGGGAGGGCGAGGCGGGCAGAUCAUGAAGUCAAGAGAUCAAGAUCAUCCUGGCUGACACGGUGAAACCCCAUCUCUACUAAAAAUACGAAAAAUUAGCUGGGCGUGGUGGCAGGCACCUGUGGUCCCAGCUACUCAGGAGGCUGAGGCAGGAGAAUUGCUUGAACCCGGGAGGUGGAGGUUGCAGUGAGCCGAGAUCGUACCAUUGCACUCCAGCCUGGGCCACAAAGCGAGACUCCGUCUCAAAAAAAAAAAAAAAAACAAAAAACAAUAACAAACAACAGCAAAACUCUGUGCUUCGCAUGAAGCCAAGGUAAUAGUCAAUGUAAACACCCCAUUGAAGAAUUAACAUUAUGCUGGGAUGUAGGGUGGGAAUGAGAGGGAAGGUUAUUUUGAGUUUUUAGUCCAAAUAUAAAAGUGAUUUAUAUGGAUAAAAAAUGUUAGUCUGCUUUUAAGUUCAACUUCAGUAGAAUUAUUUAUUAUAAUAGCCAUAAUUAUUUUUAAAAGCACCUUGAAAAAAUUUCAGUGUGGCAAUCAUUUAACCAAAUUACUGAGGCAAGAAUCUCAGAGUCUAAUCUAAAAUUAGUGGGCUUUUUUUGUUAAUAUUUCUUACCAUGUUUCUACAAAUGUUCAUCUUAGGUUUAUUGUGUUUCAAAAACAAUAGA